rnacentral:rRNA from 1 species
CCUACGGGAGACAGCAGUGAGGAAUAUUGGUCAAUGGAAGAGAGUCUGAACCAGCCAAGUAGCGUGAGGGAUGACGGCCCUAUGGGUUGUAAACUUCUUUUGUCGGAGAAUAAAACGCGGCACGUGUGCCGUUUUGCGUGUACUUUAUGAAUAAGAAUCGGCUAACUCCGUGCCAGCAGUCGCGGUAAUACGGAGGAUGCGAGCGUUAUCCGGAUUUAUUGGGUUUAAAGGGAGCGUAGAGUGGUUGGUAAGUCAGUCGUGAAAGUUUGGGGCUCAACCGUGUAAGUGCCAUUGAAACUGGCAGACUUGAGUAGAGUUGAGGUAGGCGGAAUUCGCGGUGUAGCGGUGAAAUGCUUAGAUAUCACGCAGAACCCCGAUUGCGAAGGCAGCUUACCAAACUGAGACUGACACUGAUGCUCGAAAGCGUGGGUAUCAAACAGGAUUAGAUACCCCAGUAGUC